rnacentral:rRNA from 1 species
AGAGUUUGAUCCUGGCUCAGGAUGAACGCUAGCGGCAGUAAUACAUGCAAGGGAGGGGGCAGCAAUGUCACCGUCGUACGGGUGCGUAACGCGUAUGCCCUACCUAUCACUGGGGGAUAGCCCGGGGAAACCCGGAUUAAUACCGCAUAACACAGGGGUCCCGCAUGGGUACUAUUUGUUAAAGAUUUAUCGGUGGUAGAUGGGCAUGCGUUCGAUUAGCUAGUUGGUGCGGGUAACGGCCUACCAAGGCGACGAUCGAUAGGGGAGCUGAGAGGUUGAUCCCCCACACGGGCACUGAGAUACGGGCCCGACUCCUACGGGAGGCAGCAGUAGGGAAUAUUGGGCAAUGGAUGCAAGUCUGACCCAGCCAUGCCGCGUGCCGGAUGAAGGCCCUCAGGGUUGUAAACGGCUUUUAUUCGGGAAGAAGAGCGAGGGUGCGCCCUUGUGUGACGGUACCGAAUGAAUAAGCACCGGCUAACUCCGUGCCAGCAGCCGCGGUAAUACGGAGGGUGCGAGCGUUGUCCGGAUUUAUUGGGUUUAAAGGGUGCGUAGGUGGCUUUAUAAGUCAGUGGUGAAAUACAGCCGCUUAACGGUUGAGGUGCCAUUGAUACUGUAGAGCUUGAAACAAUUGGAGGCUGCCGGAAUGGAUGGUGUAGCGGUGAAAUGCAUAGAUAUCAUCCAGAACACCGAUUGCGAAGGCAGGUGGCUACGUUUGAUUUGACACUGAGGCACGAAAGCAUGGGGAGCAAACAGGAUUAGAUACCCUAGUAGUCC